ACUCCUACGGGAGGCAGCAGUGGGGAAUUUUGGACAAUGGGCGAAAGCCUGAUCCAGCAAUGCCGCGUGAGUGAAGAAGGCCUUCGGGUUGUAAAGCUCUUUUGUCAGGGAAGAAACGGUGAGAGCUAAUAUCUCUUGCUAAUGACGGUACCUGAAGAAUAAGCACCGGCUAACUACGUGCCAGCAGCCGCGGUAAUACGUAGGGUGCAAGCGUUAAUCGGAAUUACUGGGCGUAAAGCGUGCGCAGGCGGUUUUGUAAGUCUGAUGUGAAAUCCCCGGGCUCAACCUGGGAAUUGCAUUGGAGACUGCAAGGCUAGAAUCUGGCAGAGGGGGGUAGAAUUCCACGUGUAGCAGUGAAAUGCGUAGAUAUGUGGAGGAACACCGAUGGCGAAGGCAGCCCCCUGGGUCAAGAUUGACGCUCAUGCACGAAAGCGUGGGGAGCAAACAGGAUUAGAUACCCUUGUAGUCCCA
rnacentral:rRNA from 1 species